rnacentral:tRNA from 1 species
GUUUCUGUAGUGUAGUGGUUAUCAAGUUCGCCUCACACGCGAAAGGUCCCCGGUUCGAAACCGGGCAGAAACA